GUUUGGAACUUUCAGCAGGCUAUGACCCUUUUCAUGCAUACAUCGUGCGGGGGGGCCUCGGUGUUCAAUGGUGGUUCCUGUGUUGCCUACCCAUUUAUUGGUAUCGUGUGCCACGAAGACUCGCUAUUCACACACCCCCUUGUGGCGGUUGAUGGGGGAUAUCUAAUUUGAUGCGUGUUUUGUGUUAGUCGUGCGUUGUAUCGGCUCAUGUGCCCACACGUGUAUAUUGUUCCCUUGGAUGCGGUGCAUGUGGUGAAUGUGGGCUGGUGUUUAUGCCUCGUUUCGUUGCUGUGAUAUAACAGUUGCCUUUGAAAGACACUUUGCCGUAGUGCCAGCCUUGCUAUCCCAUUGGUGGUUGCAAUACUUGCAUGUCGU
rnacentral:misc_RNA from 1 species